AUUGAACGCUGGCGGCAGGCCUAACACAUGCAAGUCGAACGAGUGGCGGACGGGUGAGUAAUGUCUGGGCAACUGCCCGAUGGAGGGGGAUAACUACUGGAAACGGUAGCUAAUACAGCAUACACUCGGAUGUGCCCAGAUUGGAUUAGCUAGUAGGUGGGGUAACGGCUCAAAUAGGCGACGAUACCUAGCUGGGCUGAGAGGAUGACCAGCAACACUGGAACGGAGACAAGGUCCAGACUCCUACGGGAUGCAGCAGUGGGGAAUAUUGCACAAUGGGUGCAAUCCUGAUGCAGCCAUGCCGCGUGUAUGAAGAAGGCCUUCGGGUUGUAAAGUACUUUCAGCGAGGAGGCGUUACUCGCAGAAGAAGCACCGGCUAACUCCGUGCCAGCAGCCGCGGUAAUAC
rnacentral:rRNA from 1 species